rnacentral:rRNA from 1 species
GACGAACGCUGGCGGCGUGCUUAACACAUGCAAGUCGAACGGAAAGGCCCUGCUUUUGUGGGGUGCUCGAGUGGCGAACGGGUGAGUAACACGUGAGUAACCUGCCCUUGACUUUGGGAUAACUUCAGGAAACUGGGGCUAAUACCGGUUAGGAGCUCCUGCUGCAUGGUGGGGGUUGGAAAGUCUCGGCGGUUGGGGAUGGACUCGCGGCUUAUCAGCUUGUUGGUGGGGUAGUGGCUUACCAAGGCUUUGACGGGUAGCCGGCCUGAGAGGGUGACCGGCCACAUUGGGACUGAGAUACGGCACAGACUCCUACGGGAGGCAGCAGUGGGGAAUAUUGCACGAUGGGCGGAAGCCUGAUGCAGCAACGCCGCGUGCGGGAUGACGGACUUCGGGUUGUAAACCGCUUUCGCCUGUGACGAAGCGUGAGUGACGGUAAUGGGUAAAGAAGCACCGGCUAACUACGUG